UUCACCCGGGAAGCUCAUUAGUGUGCUCUAUAAAUAUGAGGGAUGGAGCUAAGCAAGGGCGGAUCCAGGAUGUGUGGAUAGGGGGUGCUCACUUUCUUCUUCCUCUUCUUUUCUUCUUCUUCCUCCUUUCCUUCUUCCUUCUCUUCACCCAUGGCUGAAAAUUGGGGGUGGGGAGCGCGCACACACACCAAGCCCCCACGCUGGAUCCGUCCCUGGGGCUAGGGGCGCAUAAUCCCACCACGCCACAACCCUAGCCACCACUUCCUCUCGGCCUGAGCCCGGGACCCUUGCCACGCGUGCGGUGCUAGCACACCAGUGCACAACGUUCCUUCCCCGUACGUGUGGACUCCGUGGAGGCACUGCUGCUGUGCUGAUCGGCUAUGGCAGCUGCUGAGGCGAGGAUGAGGAGGAGACGAUCGUGAUCGACUACUUCCUCUACACCAACACGCAUCUACGUUGGACCGGCUGCUCCAACUCUUCUGCUGCGUUGUGCGUCUAUCGCAAGUUUCCUAGGUGAUGCGGUAGAUAUUUUGCUAGAGUAGUAUGUCCGUUUCCCUACAGCAGCAGGGGCCGAGCUAUGGACCAACUAUAUAAGUUCAUCUCACACUUUCUCCAUCAUGCUGUUUGUAGAGAAAGGGACUUGUCUUCUUACAGAAGGAUGGAAGAUGCAACCUGAGCCUGACUGAUGGAUACGAGACAGCUACAUUGCUACCACCAUUAACUUUUAAUAAGUACUUUAAUGGGUGUCCUCAGGGGUAUAAACAGACCACACCAAGCUGUAAGACCCGUAGCAACUCAUGCUUUGUGUAAAAAGGUUAACGACGAAGCAUCGUACCAAUAAGAAAAGCGCAAGGUUGAAGUCAAUAUGCAAAAUUAUACAGAGUCCCACAAUUGCAGUGAUAUUUUAUCAAUUCAUUUAUAUUCUCUGUAAUUGCAACUGGAUGUUCUAAGACACGUCCUGAGACGGCAAUAUAGACAUUGUGUUGAGCGUUCAGCAAUUGACAAGUUUGCUGUUUUGGCCAUAGUUUUAUGAUUUUUGUCCCGUAGGGUUGAAUCGGGGGUGAUUGCGGAAUCCGUUCCCUGCGAAAAUGUGUGCACCAGGCUUUCUCCAUCGGGUUGUUCCCGUAGAAAGGGACAUCCCUGCUUACCCGGCCGGAAGAGUCGAAGGAGCAACACGAUUGAUGGACACAAG
rnacentral:lncRNA from 1 species